rnacentral:ncRNA from 1 species
UUAUUGGAGAGUUUGAUCCUGGCUCAGGACGAACGCUGGCGGCGUGCCUAAUACAUGCAAGUCGAGCGAAUCUGAGGGAGCUUGCUCCUGACGAUUAGCGGCGGACGGGUGAGUAACACGUGGGUAACCUGCCUGUAAGAUUGGGAUAACUCCGGGAAACCGGAGCUAAUACCGGAUAACAUUUCGAACCGCAUGGUUCGAAGUUGAAAGGUGGCUUUUGCUACCACUUACAGAUGGACCCGCGGCGCAUUAGCUAGUUGGUGAGGUAACGGCUCACCAAGGCGACGAUGCGUAGCCGACCUGAGAGGGUGAUCGGCCACACUGGGACUGAGACACGGCCCAGACUCCUACGGGAGGCAGCAGUAGGGAAUCUUCCGCAAUGGACGAAAGUCUGACGGAGCAACGCCGCGUGAGCGAAGAAGGCCUUCGGGUCGUAAAGCUCUGUUGUUAGGGAAGAACAAGUACCGUUCGAAUAGGGCGGUACCUUGACGGUACC